AAAAACAAAAUAGAAGAUAUGGUUUCCCACCUAAAAAACUGAGUUUACAUUAUUAACAAAAGACAGCAUAGAAAAUACCGGUUCAUUCUAACCAAAAGAAAACAGGUCAUGUUUCCAACAUAAGCAAGUGAAAUCACCAAGUACCGUUUCCUCAACGUCGUCCUAUGGUACGAAACCAACUUAUUAGAUGCCCACCGUGUGUGAAGGGUCCCACACCCAACACAGGAAAAGUACAGACCUUCAAGUCUGUAAACUGGCAGUAGGCAUCCAGAAGAACGGUGCUUAAAUGCUACAGAAAUAUAAGCUUGUUGACUUCCACACAAUAAAAUGACCUUCUAACUAAGAUGGAAGCAAGGACUGGUGAGGCUUACACAUUUUUUUCUCCCCAGCACGAUGGACAUCUCAUACCAUGAAUAUUGACAAGUCCAGGCAUUAAAUUCUUGACCAAAGCAAGAUCGUUAUGAGGAAUGAUUUAAGAGUGCACGGUCAUUGUUUAUGCUGACUGCGCUCUUUGCACAGUUAGGAAUUGAACUGUUGAAUUAAUGCAUAGAUGACUCAUUUCAAGAUGCUGUUAAGACUGAACACCCUGCAGAGGUUGAAGAGAGCAGGGAUGAGAGCAGAAUACCAUCAGGGAACAAAGGUAAAGGGGAGAGAACAUGAAAUGGGCACCGAGCUUUCUACCCACGCAAAAGGAACAGCAGAAACAUGUGAAGCCCCCAGGAAAAGAGCAAAGCCAAGCUAUUUGGUCUUAGACAUACACCAUUUCAGAAACCUACCUAAUGAUAAUUUCAUAUUCAAUGAUCUUUAAAUUUUUAAAAGAAUAUAGUAUCUCAGAAUGCAGGGAGACAAUUUAUGUCAUUACUUCUCUCCCUUGACUUUAGCCUUGCAGUGCUGAGCCAAGGCUAAUUACGCAAGUCAAGGUAUAGAGAUCGCUGUCCCUAGGGGUGGUGAAGGGAGAUGUCGAUGCUACUAUUAUCCGACCUUUUCGUUUUCCAUUUGUAUGGAAUUCGUGAAGCUGACGUGUGUGUAUUAGGGUCAUGUGGAAGGUCCUAUUCUUGUUAUAAAGAAGAAGAGAGCCUUCCACAUGACCGUUCUUAGGAAUGAAAUAUCUGAAAUUGAGAGAGAAAAUGGCAUGCCUUAAAAAUACUUCCACAUCAUUUCAACCGGG